AUUGAACGCUGGCGGCAGGCCUAACACAUGCAAGUCGAGCGGAGCGGCGUACGGGUGAGUAAUGCCUAGAAAUCUGCCUGGUAGUGGGGGAUAACGUGCGGAAACGGUCGCUAAUACCGCAUACUAUCAGAUGUGCCGAGGUCGGAUUCGCUAGUUGGUGGGGUAAUGGCCUACCAAGUCGACAAUCCGUAACUGGUCUGAGAGGAUGAUUCGUCACCCUGGAACUGAGACACGGUCCAGACGCCUACGGGAGGAAGCAGUGGGGAAUAUUGGACAAUGGGCGAAAGCCUGAUCCAGCCAUGCCGCGUGUGUGAAGAAGGUAUUCGGAUUGUAGAGCACUUUAAGUUGUGAGGCGUUACCAACAGAAUAAGCACCAGCUAACUUCGUGCCAGCAGCCGCGGUAAUAC
rnacentral:rRNA from 1 species